CACGUAGGGUGCGAGCGUUGUCCGGAAUUAUUGGGCGUAAAGAGCUCGUAGGCGGUGUGUCACGUCGGCCGUGAAAACCUGCAGCUUAACUGUGGGCGUGCGGUCGAUACGGGCAUCACUGGAGUUCGGCAGGGGAGACUGGAAUUCCUGGUGUAGUGGUGAAAUGCGCAGAUAUCAGGAGGAACACCGGUGGCGAAGGCGGGUCUCUGGGCCGAUACUGACGCUGAGGAGCGAAAGCGUGGGGAGCAAACAGG
rnacentral:rRNA from 1 species